GUGCAGCUGGUUUAGAGGUAAGCUACAGUGUGGGUCUCAACAGAAGUGGUGCAGGGUUUGUGAAAGAGACUCUUGAUUUCUGUGUAGUCUUGGAUGAUUGCUCUUCAUGGCUGUGAGGGAGAUUUGUGUUUGGAGAGGGCUCAUUUUAGCCCUUUUCCUCUUUGCUGUUGAUGGACAGAAAAGGCCGUUAUUCAUGGUGACGUUCCCUGCAGUGAUUGAAUCUGGAUCUGAUGCCAAAUUGUGUGCAAGUCUUUUGAAACCCCAAGAGAGUCUCACAAUGACCGUUUCC